UUUGCAAUCGUGCCUUAGUUUCUACUUAAGCGGCCAGUGGAAGGCACGAGGUAUCUUAAGUUCUAAACAGCUGGUUCUGAGCCUCGGGACGACGUCUGGGACGUUAGGAGUGUUUCACUUGCAGGGUGAUUUCACGUCCUUCAGUGAUUGGGCUGCUUCUGUCUACUGUCCGCCAGCAAGUUGGAAGUUCUCCACCCAGUCCAGAAUCCCAGCAUUGUUUGUUGCUGGACGCGCAGACGGGCUUUUGCCAUAAACUGCGGUCCACACCCCACACCCAGGAAGGCGCAGAGACUUGGCCCAGCUGGCCCACCAGCCCCUGUCUACACUGCGUGGGCUCUGGCCAUCUUGGUGCUCCCCAGGUAGCGUGCCUCCAUUGAUGUUUGCUGGUUUCCGUUUACUCGCCUGUGCCACAGCUCUGGGUACCGGCACGUUCCCCAGAGAGACCCAGUAUCCGUCCCCAUCACGCGUUCGAGUAAGACACAGCCACUGUCCCUCACGCCGUUCAAAUGGGGCCACUCUUGUUUGGCUCUCACCUUUGUCCCACCGACCCGAGCAGCCUUAUCUGGGGCCUCCCCAGCAGGUUUGGAUUUACAGCUGCGGGCAGACCUGGGGAGACAUCCUAGCCGUUCUGUCAAACAGCCAGUGACUGAAACCAGCUCUUCCCAUCAAGCCUGUUGAAACGUUCCAGUUUCUGUCCACACGUCCCCCAUCAUUCUCAGCCUGCACAUUCCCAGUCCCUGCGUCCAUUCAAAGCCCUCUCUGGGGCUUCCCGUGGAGUUUCUGUAUCAGAGUUCCAGGAACUUCUUUCCCAGCCCCUGACCGCUUCCCACCCCCUUCCCCCAUUUGUGUGCAGAAAGUGUUGGGUCCAUAGAAGGGGACACCCAGGAACCCGGGUCCCUUUCUCAGUCGUUACCUGCAGUUACCAACCCGCUUAUUGCCCUGCAGGCCCUGUCUCCCCAGUUUUUAACAACCAGUGUUUCCAGUUUGCUGUCAAACUGUUACUCUGCGGAGGACCUCUCUCUGCCUGUUGCUGGAUAUUAUGGGAUAUAAGCGUGUUCCCGGUCUGAUGGAACGUGGCUCGGGUCCAAACUCACAAGUUCCGUUCCGGUUCUCCUAUAGCACUCUGGGCACCCACGUGUACCACGGGUUACAGAAGGAGGCUUCAUUAACCAGAAGUCUGGGAAGAGAACAAGGAAGUCCAUUAGUAUUUCAAGGGAGAGAGCACCACUGGGAAAUCUCGGGGAGAGCUCGAGAGCAUGCUCCCCUCAGGUGACAACGUGCUUCGUGCCUCCUGAACCCACACCCAGGCCACGUUCACUAACCCGAGUGAAGACCUCCCUGCCAACAGCUGGGAAAAGCACAUUCCUACGAUGCUUGUUCAGAGAGGGCUUUUCGGUGAUCGGUAUGUGAUACUCAGUGAACUUGACCACUUUAUGCACUUGUUAUAGCUAUCUGUAUGGUCACUGGGUUUUUUCGAUGUUUUAAAAAUGAACCGCUUUUGCUA